GGAAAGAAAAGAAAAGAAAACACUAAAAAAAAAAAAAAAAAGAAGAAGAAGAAUAAGACAAGUCCACAGAGCUUAGACCUAGAAAAUACACUGAUGUUAUAAAAUUUCUGGACUGUUAGAACUGACCCUACAUGCUUUAUACAAAACUUAUACAGCCUUACUUCCAACAAGAUGGUUUUGAGUUAGAAGGCUCAAGAAUCAUAUUUUAUGACACUUCAGUUCUCCUGGGGCCUGCAGACAAGUUGGGGAUACCUAGAUGUGUAGUGCAUGCAGUUUUCACACCCAGGUGGGAUAAGAGGACCAGAAGCUAGUAAUAACUGGAUCCACAUCAAACUCAGAAUGGAAACCUAGGAGAGAGCCAGAACCCAAGGUGAGAGUCCAGAGAAUUUUGUCCACCAGCACAUAUCUGCUUUGAAUUCUACUUAGCCAAGAAGAGGCAACAUAACACUCUGGCAAGAAUUCUGGACCAGGAGUCAGAGUACCUGGGUUUGUUCCAAGCCUUGGUUCUGACACUGACUACUCAUGUGAGUAUGGGUGACUCGAUAUCUUCCAAGCAUCAUUCUCCUUGGGAGAAUGAGGGAGGUUGGACUGCGGGUACUUCAUGGUUAAAGUCCUCCUCUAAUAAUAUGCCCACAAUAACUAUACACUAGUGAGAAGGAAUAGAAGAGAUGAGGUCAUACUAAAUCCUGUUCACACUAGUUGAGAUCUCUGAGGUGUUGAGAUCUCUGAGGUGCCAAAUGAGAAAUAGUCACAAGAGUCCAUUGAGAUCCAAAUAUCUGCUUUCUUGCUGAAAAAUGCUGAAAGGGAGAAUAGGUCUAUGGCUGAAAUCAAGGCCUUUCUCCUUUGCCUGAAGUCGAUUUCUUGAGACCCAUAGAAAGAGCCACAUUGGAUCUGCCAAGCACACACUCAGGCAGCUGAAUGGAGGUAGAUAUUCUGCUUCUCACUGUGUGACCCACCAGACCAUAUGGGAUACCACAUGGAAGCUGGAGCUAAGGGGCAGCUUGGCUUGUAGGCAGGCAGCCCUAAAGAGAAAGCCCAGAGGAGCUGAGCUAUUUCAGUACUUUUCUAUAUCACCAAUCAGAUUAGUCUCUCCUUAUCUUGUGGUGUCUUAGCCUGCUCAGGCUGCUAUAACAAAAUACCAUUAAAUUGGGUUGCUUAUAAACAACGGAAAUUCAUUUCACACUGUUCUGGAGGCUGGGAAGUCCAAGAUCAAGGCACUAGCAGACUCGGUGUUUGGUAAAGGCCCGUUUGCUGGUCUACAGAUGGUGACUUCUGGCUGAGCCAUCACAUGGUGGAAGGGGUGAAAAAAAGAAGUCCCUUGAGCCUAGCGCCCACCACCAUGCCUGGCUAAUUUUUUGUACUUUUAGUCGAGACGGGGUUUCACC
rnacentral:lncRNA from 1 species